UCGCGGCCUAUCAGCUUGUUGGUGAGGUAACGGCUCACCAAGGCUUCGACGGGUAGCCGGCCUGAGAGGGCGACCGGCCACACUGGGACUGAGAUACGGCCCAGACUCCUACGGGAGGCAGCAGUGGGGAAUAUUGCGCAAUGGGCGAAAGCCUGACGCAGCAACGCCGCGUGCGGGAUGACGGCCUUCGGGUUGUAAACCGCUUUCAGCAGGGACGAAACUGACGGUACCUGCAGAAGAAGCACCGGCUAACUACGUGCCAGCAGCCGCGGUGAUACGUAGGGUGCGAGCGUUGUCUGGAAUUAUUGGGCGUAAAGAGCUCGUAGGCGGUCUGUCGCGUCGGAAGUGAAAACUCGGGGCUUAACCCCGAGCCUGCUUUCGAUACGGGCAGACUUGAGGAAUGUAGGGGAGAACGGAAUUCCUGGUGGAGCGGUGGAAUGCGCAGAUAUCAGGAGGAACACCAGUGGCGAAGGCGGUUCUCUGGACAUUAACUGACGCUGAGGAGCGGAAGCGUGGGGAGCAAACAGGCUUAGAUACCCUGGUAGUCCACGCCGCAAACGGUGGGCACUAGGUGUGGGGGACUUCCACGUUCUCCGUGCCGUAGCUAACGCAUUAAGUGCCCCGCCUGGGGAGUACGG
rnacentral:rRNA from 1 species